GUCUAUUUGUGGAUAUAAAUGGUCUAGUCUGCCCACUGAUAAAAUAAGUUUAAAGGGCCGCGGUAUUUUGACCGUGCAAAGGUAGCAUAAUCACUAGUUUUUUAAUUGGAAUCUCGUAUGAAUGGCUGGACAAAAGAAAGUCUGUCUCUAUAAUAAUUAUUGAAUUUAACUUUUAAGUGAAAAGGCUUAAAUGAUUUGAAAAGACGAUAAGACCCUAUAAAGCUUGAUAUAAGUUGUAUAUUAUUAUAGAAUUUUAUAAUUUAUAAAGAUAUAUUGUGCAGUUUUUAUUUUAUUGGGGCGAUAGAGGUAGAAUUUUUAAUAACUGCUUAGAUUUUAUGACAGUAUAAGUGAUUAGUUUGUAAAAGAUCCUAAAUAAAGAUUAAAAGGUUAAGUUACUUUAGGGAUAACAGCGUAAUUCUUUUUGAGAGUUCUUAUCGAAAGAAGAGUUUGCGACCUCGAUGUUGAAUUAAAAGUUCUUUACAAUUGUAGGAGUUGUAAAAGAAGGUCUGUUCGACCUUUAAAUUUUU
rnacentral:rRNA from 1 species